GAUGAACGCUAGCGGCAGGCCUAACACAUGCAAGUCGAGGGAGGAGCUUUCGGGCUUCGACCGGCGUACGGGUGCGUAACGCGUAAACAACCGGCCUUUCACAUAGGGAUAGCCCGAAGAAAUUUGGAUUAAUACCAAAUGUUAUAUAGGGUUGGCAUCACAUUUAUAUUAAAGCUGAGGCGGGGAAAGAUGAGUAUGCGUUCUAUUAGCUAGUUGGAGAGGUAACGGCUCCCCAAGGCGACGAUAGAUAGGGGUUCUGAGAGGGAUAUCCCCCACACUGGUACUGAGAUACGGACCAGACUCCUACGGGAGGCAGCAGUGAGGAAUAUUGGACAAUGGUCGGAAGACUGAUCCAGCCAUGCCGCGUGCAGGAAGACGGCCUUAUGGGUUGUAAACUGCUUUUGCAGGGGAAGAAUAAGGACUACGAGUAGUUUGAUGACGGCACUCUGCGAAUAAGCAUCGGCUAACUCCGUG
rnacentral:rRNA from 1 species